CCUACGGGAGGCAGCAGUGGGGAAUAUUGCGCAAUGGGCGAAAGCCUGACGCAGCGACGCCGCGUGAGGGAUGAAGGUCUUCGGAUCGUAAACCUCUGUCAGCAGGGAAGAACGGUCACUGUACUAAUCAGCAGUGAAUUGACGGUACCUGCAAAGGAAGCACCGGCUAACUCCGUGCCAGCAGCCGCGGUAAUACGGAGGGUGCGAGCGUUAAUCGGAAUUACUGGGCGUAAAGCGCUCGUAGGCGGUAUGUCAAGUCAAGGGUGAAAUCCCCGCGCUCAACGUGGGAACUGCCUUUGAAACUGGCAGACUGGAGUGUGUGAGAGGGUAGUGGAAUUCCAGGUGUAGGGGUGAAAUCCGUAGAUAUCUGGAGGAACAUCAGUGGCGAAGGCGACUAUCUGGCACAUAACUGACGCUGAGGAGCGAAAGCGUGGGUAGCAAACAGGAUUAGAUACCCGAGUAGUC
rnacentral:rRNA from 1 species